rnacentral:rRNA from 1 species
AAGACUUUGGACCACUUAUUACUCGGGUGCAUCGUAGCACGACAAGUAUGGGCCAGGAUCAUGAACACCUGGGGAAGACCGGAUUGGACACCAUCAACAGAUUCAAACCUCGUGAAAUGGUGUGCAUCACUUAAUCCACAAAAGCAUUUUUGGAAGGAGGCGUGGACAGUGGUAUCACUGGUGCUCUGGAUGUUGUGGAAAUACCGAAACGACAUAGUGUUCAAUGGAGCCUCGCCAUCGGUGGACGACGUGCUUGCAAGGAUCGAAUUGGAGACGCAAGACUGGAGGGCGGCCGGCCUACUUCGAGAACAUGGCUCCGUCACAUGUAUGGUAGAUAGGUUGGAUGAUGGUGAGUAA